AUUGAACGCUGGCGGCAUGCUUUACACAUGCAAGUCGAACGGUAACAGGUUAAGCUGACGAGUGGCGAACGGGUGAGUAAUGCAUCGGAACGUGCCCGAUCGUGGGGGAUAACGCAGCGAAAGCUGCGCUAAUACCGCAUACGAUCUGAGGAUGAAAACGGGGGACCGUAAGGCCUCGCGCGAUCGGAGCGGCCGAUGUCAGAGUGGGUAGUUGGUGGGGUAAAGGCUCCCCAAGCCAACGAUCUGUAGCUGGUCUGAGAGGACGACCAGCCACACUGGGACUGAGACACGGCCCAGACUCCUACGGGAGGCAGCAGUGGGGAAUUUUGGACAAUGGGCGAAAGCCUGAUCCAGCAAUGCCGCGUGCAGGAAGAAGGCCUUCGGGUUGUAAACUGCUUUUGUACGGAGCGAAAAGGCCCUCUCUAAUACAGUGGGCUCAUGACGGUACCGUAAGAAUAAGCACCGGCUAACUACGUGCCAGCCGCCGCGGUAA
rnacentral:rRNA from 1 species